GGAUGAGUUUCUUUUGCCUUUAUUUUGUUGGAAAACUGGCAAUUAGCAGGUUAAACGACGCUUCUCUCCCGUUAAAUUUAUUGUGCAUUUGGUUCCUGAAACCACUUCAUAGUUGGUGCACCAUGAAUUUUGAUACAACCAUUAUAUUCCUCCUACAUUAAUUAUUAGCGUGUGAAGGAUAAGAUAGUGAUGGAUUAAAAGCCAUUCUAUUCUAUAACC
rnacentral:lncRNA from 7 species